UACAGAGGGGGCAAGCGUUAUUCGGAAUUAUUGGGCGUAAAGGGCGCGUAGGCGGCUUGGCAAGUGGAAGGUGAAAUCCCUCGGCUUAACCGAGGAACUGCCCUCCAAACUGCUCUGCUUGAGGCCGGGAGAGGCGAGUGGAAUUCCCAGUGUAGCGGUGAAAUGCGUAGAUAUUGGGAGGAACACCAGUGGCGAAGGCGGCUCGCUGGACCGGUUCUGACGCUGAAGCGCGAAAGCGUGGGGAGCAAACGGG
rnacentral:rRNA from 1 species